rnacentral:misc_RNA from 1 species
UAAGACGUUAUCACAAAAUGUUAGAACAUAGAAUAAUAGUGUUUCUUAUGUUUAAAUAAUAAUUUAUGAAAAGCAGUGAAAAAAAAGAGCCAGGCAAAGGUACUGGAAUUAUCUACAUACCUGCUUGACUGCAUACUUUCAGUGGGCUUGGCGAAAGAAAAUGAUUAAAUAGUACGGCAGUAGAAAUACUUCGUUUGAAAGGACGUUUUCAAUUAUUAUUUAAGGAGGGCUCAGCGAUCUUUUUGCGGCGACCAUUGAAAAUUCUUGUGAAAAUGCUGAGAAUGAUUUUUGUUUCCACAACUUUAUACGAAAAAUCGCUAGGUCAAAGUUAUAUGCUGAAUAUUUUCCCAAAUACUUUGUAUGAUGAUGUUCUAAUAUUCCAAAAAGUUCAAGAAAUUCAAAAAUUCAACUCACGAGGCAAUUCACGCAGCACACCGUAUCGUUCAUCGAAGAAGGAAUACCGGUCCGCCACAGUUUCGGCACUGAGGAUCAUCAAAAAUAGAAGCUCCCCUUACAGCAUCUUUGUAGGAGAAGUGAUGUCCGAAGCAGUACGGCAACAUAAUCUCUUGUUGGGGACACACUCGCGAUGAUUCAAACCACGUGCCUUUAUCCUGGGAAAUUUUAUGGUGCUGGAAAUUCUAUUUGGAUGAACUUAUACAUAUAAAUAAAGCAAGCACACCUUUCCCAUCCCCAUCAGUAUCUCGUCCACGGAGUAAACUUUUUUCUUCUAGCCAAGAUAAUGGUAACGGUAAUGGUAAAUGUAAAAAAAAUGGGAAUGUCCUUUAUGUCUUCAUUCAAUAUUAUAUAUAAGGAGGAACUAAGGGGAGGAAGUCCUCAAACUACUUCAGAUUAUUCAGUCAUCAUUAUUCCAGCCUUCAAUACAUGUUAAAACAAAAAUUAUUACAAAAAAAAAUUAAAAUAAAGAUAACUAAAAUGUAAAACUUACAAGAAAAGAAUAAAAUAAAAUAAAAAUCAUAAAAAAAAAGAAGAAGAAGAAAAGAAA